UACGUAGGGGGCCAGCGUUGCUCGGAAUUACUGGGCGUAAAGGGUUCGUAGGUGGUGCGGCAAGUUGGGAGUGAAAUCUCUGGGCUUAACUCAGAGGCUGCUUUCAAAACUGCCGCGCUCGAGUGCGAGAGAGGUCAGUGGAAUUGCAGGUGUAGCGGUGAAAUGCGUAGAUAUCUGCAGGAACACCCGUGGCGAAGGCGGCUGACUGGAUCGCAACUGACACUGAGGAACGAAAGCCAGGGGAGCAAACGGG
rnacentral:rRNA from 1 species